AGGCAUUGCCUAGUAGCGGCGAGUGAAGCGGCAAAAGCUCCAUUUUGAAAGCUCUUCGGAGCGUUGUAGAUUGGUGGGAAGCUAACGGCUGGUGGGAGACCAAGUCCUCUGGAACGAGGCGCCAUAGAGGGUGAGAGCCCCGUGUGUCUCCUUUACCGACCUUUCAGCCCCCUCCGCGGAGUCGAGUUGUUUGGGAAUGCAGCUCUAAGUGGGUGGUAAAUUCCAUCUAAGGCUAAAUAUUGGCGAGAGACCGAUAGCGAACAAGUACAGUGAUGGAAAGAUGAAAAGCACUUUGAAAAGAGAGUGAAACAGUACGUGAAAUUGUUGAAAGGGAAGGGUAUUUGGCCCGACAUGGGUCCUAUGCACCGUUGCCUCUCGUGGGCGGCGCUCUGCUUGGGCCUGGGCCAGCGUCAGUUUGGAGGGGGCGAGAAGGGUUUUGGGGAGUUGCCUAGCAAUUCCCCUUUGCUAGAUUGCCCCACACCGGACUGAGGACCGCCAUCUGUAGGAUGCUGGCACAACGGCCAAAUACCGCCCGUCUUAAAAACCCGGAAACAA
rnacentral:rRNA from 1 species